rnacentral:lncRNA from 1 species
GGCUGACACAUAUCUUUCUCUAGAGCAUAUUUUGUACUUGAUGGGCAAUCUUUAUAAUCAAUCAUGUCAUAUGUGUCCAUAAUUUAUCCUAAAAAUUAAUAAAGAUGAUUUUGUAUAUUUUUAAGGUGUUGAAAAUUUGAGAUAUACAUUAUUAGUUGUUAAUUUCUAAAUACUUCCGAUCGAAGGAUCAUCCGAAAGAGAGUGAUCAAUCUAUUCA